AAUAGAUACCCAGGUAGUCCACGCCGUAAACUAUGAUUACUCGAUGUCGGCGAUAUACUGUCGGUGUCCAAGCGAAAGUGAUAAGUAAUCCACCUGGGGAGUACGAUCGCAAGGUUGAAACUCAAAGGAAUUGACGGGGGCCCGCACAAGCGGUGGAGCAUGUGGUUUAAUUCGAUGAUACGCGAGGAACCUUACCUGGGCUUGAAUGCAUUAUGACCGUCCCGGAAACGGGACUUUCUUCGGACAGAAUGCAAGGUGCUGCAUGGUUGUCGUCAGCUCGUGCUGUGAGGUGUCGGGUUAAGUCCCAUAACGAGCGCAACCCCUAUUCUUAGUUGCCAGCGGGUAAUGCCGGGGACUCUAAGAAACUGCCCGCGUAAGCGGUGAGGAAGGUGGGGAUGACGUCAAAUCAUCACGGCCCUUACGUCCAGGGCUACACACGUGCUACAAUGGUCAGUACAAAGGGCAGCUACCUGGUGACAGGAUGCUAAUCUCGAAAACUGAUCUCAGUUCGGAUCGAAGUCUGCAACUCG
rnacentral:rRNA from 1 species